rnacentral:rRNA from 1 species
AGUGAACGCUGGCGGUAGGCCUAACACAUGCAAGUCGAACGGCAGCACCGUAAGAGCUUGCUCUUACGGGUGGCGAGUGGCGGACGGGUGAGGAAUACAUCGGAAUCUACUUUUUCGUGGGGGAUAACGUAGGGAAACUUACGCUAAUACCGCAUACGACCUACGGGUGAAAGCCGGGGAUCUUCGGACCUUGCGCGAUUGAAUGAGCCGAUGUCGGAUUAGCUAGUUGGCGGGGUAAAGGCCCACCAAGGCGACGAUCCGUAGCUGGUCUGAGAGGAUGAUCAGCCACACUGGAACUGAGACACGGUCCAGACUCCUACGGGAGGCAGAAGUGGGGAAUAUUGGACAAGGGGCGCAAGCCUGAUCCAGCCAUACCGCGUGGGUGAAGAAGGCCUUCGGGUUGGAAAGCCCUUUUGUUGGGAAAGAAAAGCAGCAGGUUAAUACCCCGCUGUUCUGACGGUACCCAAAGAAUAGGCACCGGCUAACUUCG